AGGCUCAGGCUCCGGUGGCAGCUCCCUGAAAGGCCCCGUGGGCUUGGGUCCGGGAAGCGAGCCCAGGCCAGGACGUGCGCCGCAGGAGUUUCAGAAGUAAGCUAUACGUUGUAACAAUGCUAACAAGGGCAGGAAUCAAGAGCCAGUGAAUCAGUGAUUGAAGGGUAACACAGUAGCAGGCAGCAGUUGACACCUAGGGAAACCACAGAUGGACCAAGGGAAGAAAUCAAUAGGAGAAAAUGUAGCAACCAGGAAUUCUCUAAACCUCAGUGUUCAAGGGCGAGAAGCCCUGGCCUGAGUUAAUCAACCCCAGGGACCAACUUUUGGGCUGAAUAUCUCCAGAUUGACUGCUCCCAGAGCCCUAUUCAAAAUUCAUCAACAGACUCCCAAACCUGCACGUACAUGCCGACAACCCCGGGGCUGACAGAUGUCAUUCAGUAGCCACUGAGGGGGAAGUCCCACGAGGGUCAACGACCCCUGGAUUGAUUGGGCAAACCUGAAAACUGGGGAGGAGUUACCAAAGUCUGCCAAGGACAGAUAAAAAGCAGUGAAACGUGACCCUCAGCGGUGCCCUCUUGAUCUCCAACUUGACCAGCACCCGACCUAUCGAGCCAGAAGGACCAGCCGGUGACUCCCUUCUGGAGGAUAACACCAUGCUGAAAGAAGCCUUGACUGGCCAUCAAUGGCAGACCCCAGCGCCUGUGGGAUAGGUAUACCUGACUCUUGUAGCUUGCUACUGUGUGUGUGCAUGUGUGGGGACCAGGCCCAAGGUUUAUGAUUUCAUUACAGUGUUUCAAUCCACCUAAUAAACCAGAAUUUUAAGGAUCCCGAGUUGGACAUUUGUAGCCAACAACACUGGGUCCUCCCUUUAAAUUGUUCAGUCUGAAUAACAAGCCAGUGAGAGCGCUGGCCAGAGUCCACCGACCUCGAACUUGGAAGAACCACGCCUGACAGAUCCAUCGGGGGGGGCUUCGUGCUGCUAAAGAGCCUGGUUACAAGUUGUGCUUUAAGCUUCCCAACUGUUGAUCUGGGUUAUAGCUUGGGUUGAGUGCAGUCAUAGUCAGGCUAAGAACCUCUCCCAGCCGCAUGGCCCUGACCUGCUUCUGUAGGGCUGGCUGGCAGGGCCUCAACUAGGAGCUACAGUCGUCCCCACAGACCCGCAGGGGGAGAGAAAAGGACCUGAUUUCCUGGGAUGCUGGAGAACCGAAACUUCAGUGGCUUCUCUAUGGGGAGUGGCCGCACGUUUGUGGAACACAAGCUGGAUAACGUGGGUCAGAGAUAAACCUGCCCUGGAGCAGCGUAACUUUAAGAUGCCCAAAGAAUACUUAAAACUAGUUGACAUGUCUUAAUGUGUGAGCAAUCCAGGGGUUAAGAGCUCCUCAAGCUGCCUAAAAUUAACCUGCAACAUGUCACAACCAAAUUAAGUAGUGCCCAUGUCACAAACAAGUAAUAACCAUUUAAAACAGUUUUUUCUGCACUAGGUUAACUAAGGGUUAACAAUAAUGAUAGUAACCACUUUUUUCUGCGCAUGUCAAAAAAAAAUUUAUUGCUGCGCCACUAACAGAGAUAAAAACUUUUGCCUUCUUUGCUUUAUAUAAAUCAUUAUAAUUGGUCAAAGAAAACAAGGAGUAAUCCUGUGAAAAUAACACCCUAGCAAAGACCGCUAGAUAAUUGGCGAUUCUAAUUAGACUUAUGACGUGGCAAAAAAACAAUUGGCUAUCAUACAAACAAAACCCGCUUAUAUUUUUCGCAAAGUCGAAGACAACUCUGCCCACACCUUGGAGUAAAUCUGACAAUUUGAUCAGUUGUCAGCGUCUUCCCGCCGCGACCUCCCUGGCGUACCCUUGCCCCACGUGCCCAAUAAGCCGACUGCCGGCCCGUAUAUAUAUAUCUGCAGAACGACUGAAUGACGAUCUCUAAGCUGUAACUAAGUAUCUCUGACCUCCGUCUUACACCACCUUGACGUGAGUAAACAAUCUUGCUUUGCAACCGAUAAGCGUCCGCCUAAUUAAUUCCACUCCAAGCGUCACAAGUACCCGCCUAACGGCCUUCUAAGGCCCCGGACCCUUAUCUGCCCGGGUGGGAGUCAGGAAAAGCUGCUGGCCGGCUGCCCUGGGUCCCAACACAACAAAGCCCAAAGAUUCAGACAGGGAUCACAUCAGGUGUGAAGUAAACACCUCUUGUUCUCGCUGUGUAUGUUGUCAGCAAUCCCUUGAUCUGAGGAUCUCUACCACGGCUUGUUGAUGGGUCUUGAGGUGACUAGAGUCCAAUCCUUGAGCCACAGAUCCAUUGGUAGAUGUUGUAGGCUUUCCAUGGAGGAGAGUAUGCUGUAGACCGGGAUUCCUCACCUUUUCCUUCCUCUGUUCUUUCUUCUCUGCUUUGAGGGCAAGACACUUUGCCUUGAAAUGGGCUGCUGCUUGGCUGAGGUUCCAGUGCUAGGCAAACAGUCACGGCAAGUCCGAAGCACAGGUCCAGGAGCUCAAACCAAGGUCCACUCUGGGCUUCUAGCCCUGUGUGCUUGAGGCUUGCCAUGCCUGUUUGCAAGCACGUGUGUUGUGGAAUCGCACAGAACUGUAUCUGUGUAUCCACAUCCACACUGGCACUACAGCUAUUCAGCAUUGGCAUUAAGAUUUCUUGGGGUGCAUUUUGGGAUCCUUAGAACUUCACUGACUUGAUCCACUUUAAGAACUUGUCCAUCCUUCCCCAGCUCCAUGUGGAAGUGUUUUUCACCUGCUGUCACAUUUGAGGCACUGUUGUCUUUUGUGUGCUUGUCAUUAAACAACACUUAGUGGCUUUUUACAGGAAUAUAAAUCUAAGUCCUUGUUUUUUGGUCCAGUUUCAAUUUGGGUAAUUACAUUCAGCCCACCUAAUUCCCCAUGCUUCAAUCAACUCCAAUAUUCUUUACUUCCCAGUCUAAAACUCAUUAGAGUAGGUGUACAUUCUGUUACAAUGGCUGUCUUCUAAAAAAAGAUAUAGUGAAACGACCUUCAUGUAUAGUGUUUACAAUUCUGAUAUAGUAUACAAAUCACUAAAUACAAAUUCCAAUAAAUUCUUGGAGCAAAGGCAAACUAACAUGAAUUGCUAUAGUCCUUUUCAUUAUAUGAAUGCUUCCUUUCUCCCUCUUUCUAGUUACAGUCUUGAUGCUCACCCUAUGCAAAGGACAGUCCGAACUAGACAUUUUUCCCCAUGUAGAAGAAGCAGCCUAAGGUAACUAUAGGAAUUUGAAUCCAAUCUUCCAGUGGCUGUUACGGAACACAGUGAAGAAUCACAGGAAAAGUCACUGUUUUCUAACAGUACAGAAGGAAUUUUACUAUGUUAAGGAACGAUGUUGUUCAGAAAACCUAUCCCUUUCCAUCUUGUUGUUUCAAUGCAGAGGUUCUACCUAGAACACUGAACAAGCCCAUCUUACCUUUGUUCCUGCUAUUGAUUUAAAGAAACUGUCUGUCCCCAAAUUGUCAUAUUGAAUGAAAUAGUUUGAAUGUUUGUAAUAGUUGCCCAUUAGCCAGUUUCAGGAAGAAGACAAGAUUUAUCUCCUUAUCUAGGCCAUUGUUUUGGUCUGUGUGUGAAAGGUCCUUUUAAUGUUUUAAAAUUGGUGAUGAACCAGAGUAAAGUGAAUGAAAUAGAGGAGCAUGGAGAGAAACCAAGUAAAAUAUCUGUGCAACCUACUGCACCUUCUCCAAUUGCUCCAUCCACUCCACCCCUAUAUGCAGAAGUUACAGUAGAAUUGAAAGAAUUAAAAGCUGACUGUGAGGUAGGAGAAGUAGCUAAAGGUAGAGCAGAGCCAAUACUGGAGGCAUGCCCUAUAGUAACUACCACUUGGAAACAACAAGGGACAAAUCCUGCAGUUAGGCAGAAUAUCUAUAGAGAAAGGAACAGGGAGGAAAUAGAAGAUUUGGCUAGGAGAACAGCACGACAUACUAAUGAAAAUUGCUGUGUGUGGCUAGGAAGGAUUAUAGAGGAAGAAAAUGGAAUAGGGACCCUAUUAAGUCCGGAGGAGGCCCUUCCACUAAUAAGAAAUUCGGGAUGGAGUAAGGGGGCAAUCCUCAUAAAUACCAGGAAUAUAAUUCCGGGAGGCAUGUAUCCCAUAACUUUAGCUGGAUUAAUUGCCACCGGGGUAAAAAAUCAUUUGGGAGCUCUAAACUUUCCCCAAAAUUUAGAAGGGGGUAUGAAUAAUAUCAGGUACAUAAUACGGGGAAUUAGUUUUGCCCAUUGGACAGCACCCCCAAACACCCUAAUGGCAGUACAACAGAGAUUAAGGAAUGAUUGUUUGUUUAUCAGCACUCCUGAACAAGUAAUUUGCAACAGGAUGUCGUUAGAGGUAGCAGCAAAUGUACUGAAAACUCCAGGAGUAAAAGCCUGGUUACUGCCGCUGGUGGGGCAGACACCCUGGGAGGUAGCUGAUCAAAUAGGAACCAUAGUGCAGGAGGAAGAAAUCAAGAAAAAGCCCAAAUUAAUAAUAUAGAACAUCAUGUGCACACUCCUUACCAUCCACAAUCUAAUGGGGUUGUGGAGAGACACAUUGGUAUUUUGAAGACAUAAUUGAAAACAAAUUUAAAAUCAAUUUCCUUUAAAAACUGGGAUGCAGUAUUGCAUGUAACCUUAAUUCAGUGCAAUAAUGAUAAAACCAUGUGGCUGAAACACGAAAAGAAAGAAUUUCCAGUGUGGACAUAUAAGUAUAAAAAAGAUGAUAAAGUGUGGAUACACUUACCCAAAGAAGAAAAAGUAACAAAAGGUGUAAUUGAUCAACUGGGGAAACAUCCCAACACUUAUUUUGUUUAACUGAGGAAAAUCAAACACUAACCUCAUGAAGCUAGGUCUCAUGAGGACCUAAGCAAUCAUUUAAUUUUGUUACAGGUGUCAAGGAUUGAAGUGGCAACAGUGGGAGAUCAAGAAUGAAAAUGAUCCCAGAGAUGAAAACUGGAUGCGGCUAACCAAUGCAACAUUAUGCAGACCAGUACAUAGACCACCCAAUGUGAUUCUGGGAUAUAAUGCUGACGUAUGGAAUCUCACAAUAUAUCGUUUAACUUGGAAACUGGACAAUUAGUGAUGUUGUCAAAGGACUAUGGAGAACACAUUACUUACCUGAAAUUACUCAACGCCAGCAAGAUCCUCAAUGCACCAUCUGCUUCGGUGUUAGAAGGACUAGCCAUGAUUGGAAAUGCAGUGGGGAAUGGUGUUAAAUCUACUAUACAACUAUGGAACACUAUAAAGACUGUAUUUUCGGGAAAAUGGGUGAUAUAUGUUACAGGAUUGUUUGGGUUAAUCAUUUUAGGAAAAUUAAUGUUAAUGUUGUCAUGGAAUUAUCAUAAUAAGUUUGCAAGGCUUAGUAAUGAAAUAUAAUUGUAAUCAAACUGCCUAAUGGGCACGGGGGGACACAAAUCUAUAUAGUAAAUAUUUUAGAAAAAACCUUUUAAUUGGAGUGGGAAUAGGGAUGGUUACAAUUGUGGCAUUUCCAUUAUGUCCAUUCCUUAUCAUAACUACCCACAUUUUUUGCUAUCAUGUACACAAGAACGUCACUGAAAAAUAAUUUAAUAUAUAUUUUUAAGUCAAUAUAAAGGCAUAAAUAAUGAAUGACGCCAACAAUUUUUUGUAUGAAAUCAGUGACGAAUUUAUUAAAGCAGUGCAAUAUAUGCAAACAACACUAGAGUAUACCGUGUCUUAGAGAAUAUUAUAUUGUGUAUCUGAAUGGUUUUAAGAUCAGUAUUAUGAGACAAAUCUUGAAGUUCUUAUUCAUACAAAACUCUUUUUUUUUGUCUGUGUAAGGAACUCAGGAUUUGUUGCAAGUAUUAUUGUAUUAGUUGUUGUUGUUGUUGUUGUUGUUGUAGAGAACGUAGAAGACAACACUGGAUGCACUCCUGACCCUGUUAAAAUCAGAUGAUUUCAAUGACAACAGAAUUUCAUCCGUUGUAUCUGCUUCAAAGAAUAUUUGUGUAGUCUAUGUGUAGUUGUAAGCAGCUUUAAGCUUUAAUUUUACAUGCAGUUUCAAUAGGCCAUAUAUUCAUUUAAAAAAAAUGUUUGAAAGGGAUGCACCUUGUUAACACCUGCCACUAGCUUAAAACAUGCCAUACUAUAAGAAUACUAUGCAUGUAUUAGGAACAGUAUUAAACGUGUCAUUAUUGUUUAAGGGCCAA